rnacentral:rRNA from 1 species
GACGAACGCUGGCGGCGUGCUUAACACAUGCAAGUCGAACGGAAAGGCCCUGCUUUUGUGGGGUGCUCGAGUGGCGAACGGGUGAGUAACACGUGAGUAACCUGCCCUUGACUUUGGGAUAACUUCAGGAAACUGGGGCUAAUACCGGAUAGGAGCUCCUGCUGCAUGGUGGGGGUUGGAAAGUUUCGGCGGUUGGGGAUGGACUCGCGGCUUAUCAGCUUGUUGGUGGGGUAGUGGCUUACCAAGGCUUUGACGGGUAGCCGGCCUGAGAGGGUGACCGGCCACAUUGGGACAGAGAUACGGCCCAGACUCCUACGGGAGGCAGCAGUGGGGAAUAUUGCACAAUGGGCGGAAGCCUGAUGCAGCAACGCCGCGUGCGGGAGGACGGCCUUCGGGUGGUAAACCGCUUUCGCCUGUGACGAAGCGUGAGUGACGGUAAUGGGUAAAGAAGCACCGGCUAACUACGU